AUGAUCAACUGUUUGAAUUUUUAGGUAUUAAGAACAGCAGCUAUCGAAGUAAAUAAAAUGUCAUAACCCCCACAAAGGCAUGCCAGUCAAUUGCAAAUUUCACACGAUAGUCCAAAUUCCGUAAAGACAAAAUACAGGCUUAGAUAUGAAUCGCCUGUAUGUUCUGGAGAAAAUGUGCCCAAGGAUAAUAAAACAACAGCUGCAGAAAUGUUAGCGGAGUCUAGAAGAUUAUAAAACGAACAUAAAUCCUUACCGCAAUCCAGUCAAAUGAAAAAUUCACUGAAGGCUGAAUUUCAUGAAAUGUUUGAAAAUCGUCGAAGCCGUCAUGAAAGCACUAGAAAAUGAUAAAGAUGAAAUUAUGGAUGCUUAGACUUAUAAAAACCGUUCAUAUUCUGAUACUGCACUCAAUGAUACUGUCAAAAAAUUACUUAAUGAUAUGUUAUUUAUCAUACAUAACAUUAUAACAUUAAAAAUACUUUAAAUAGUAUCUUUAUUCGGUAUUCGUUUAGUAUGUGACCUACCGGUUGAAAAUCGAAUUUAGUAUGUGACCUACCUGUAUUACUGGGUUUAGUGUGUGACCUACCAAGACGAUUAUCUAUAUUAUAGGUAUAGACAAUCUAUAUGCUUGCUUAUCUUUAUAGUUACAUUAUAUUUACUGGUUUUCACCAAUAGAUAUUUUGUCAUUCUAACAUUAUCGACAAUAUUGUCAGUACCUGUUCACGCGUCAAUCCGAUAUCGCGUGUUUAAAACUUUAAAAUGUUGGCAGUCGAAUUGUACGCGACUAUAUCUUCUGAAAAAACAGUAUUAGAAUUUUUACAAAUAAAUAAACUAUUACCACAAAAUAACGAAACUAAUUUAUUUACGAUGCAAUUCUAAUCUCAGUUUGGGCCAAAUAUUAGAACUUAUAUAUUAUUGGUCACAAGAUUUACCCAUAAAAACUGUUACUGAUUUGAUGGGCCGUUCAAAUGCAACCAUUGUUGACUGUUUUAAUUUGUGUAGAGACCUGUGUUGUUCAUUAUUUGAAAAACGUGAAAAAAUGGGAGAACAAAUUAUAGUGGUACAAAUUGAUGAAUCGUUAUUGAGAGGGAGUAGAAAGUAUAACCAAGGAAGACUACUACUAGGUGAUACUCAUUUUUUCUCAUACAAUAUAUGAUAAAGAAAUCUAAUUGUUAUACCUACAUUUGUUUCAUGUUAUUCUGA